GUCCCCAACCUCAAAACCCGGACUGGAGUCGCCUUCCUGCCAAGUGCUCGUCGGCUGCAGACUCAUUCGCCUUCCUGAAGCGGAGGCGUCGCCCGAGGAGCCGCGGUGCCGAAUGGGGCGUGCUCGCCAAGGCUUUCGCGCAUCUCGCAGAGGUGCUUCUUACAUGCGUACCGGCAACAAGUGCUGACUCCGAGCUGGGCCAGAACAGGACGCGGAUCCAAAGCCAGGACCCAGCUGGAGGAGGAUGACCUACAAGGAAAAUGAUCAGCAACAUUACUACUACUGGCAUGCUGGGUGGAUUCAUGAUUAAGAGGGAGCUGGAUAUAAAGCUGAGUUCAAAUCUGUCAUCUUCAACCUUUGCUGACCCUAUGAAGAAAGCCCUCCAAAAUGUCCUGUCCAUGACAGCUCCAUUCAAC